AACUUAUUGUAAACACAGUAAUAGAUCCCUUGCAGAAUAGAGGAAAACAAAAUAUAUGGCAUUUUCUUAAGUUAAUUUGAUACUUAGAUAUGUUUCCAGUUACUAUAUUACUAUAAUAGUACAGACAUAAAAAGCAUGAACUUCAGCAGAGCCAUGAUUUCACUCCACAUUUUUACAUUUCAGAGAAACUAUACACCACUGACUGACAUCAGUAAGAAGGAUUUUACAUGGCCUGUUUCUGUGCUCCCAGUGGUUGAUCAGUGAAGAAGAAUGUUAUUUUAUGUGAAUAUACUCCAACCAAACGGUCAGGUUAAAAUUUACAAUUGACUGGAGCUGCUAUUAAUGAUUGUUCCACACGUGAUUUGUUGACUUUGUAUGUGACCCUUAAUACACGUGAUGCAUUUUGCAUUCUUGUAUCUUUAAGUCUAAACAUACAAGUACAUAACUUAAUAGCAG
rnacentral:lncRNA from 1 species